rnacentral:rRNA from 1 species
UACGGAGGGUGCAAGCGUUAUCCGGAUUCACUGGGUUUAAAGGGUGCGUAGGUGGGCAAGUAAGUCAGUGGUGAAAUCUCCGGGCUUAACCCGGAAACUGCCAUUGAUACUAUUUGUCUUGAAUACUGUGGAGGUCAGCGGAAUAUGUCAUGUAGCGGUGAAAUGCUUAGAUAUGACAUAGAACACCAAUUGCGUAGGCAGCUGGCUACACAAAUAUUGACACUGAGGCACGAAAGCGUGGGGAUCAAACAGG